rnacentral:lncRNA from 1 species
CGCUCUGUAGACAUCACUAAUUGCCGUAAACAAUGUCGCAAAAAUAAUACACAUAUCUACAUAUACGAGAACAAAGUGGAAUAAUUACAGUGUUUUUCGCUAAUCGCGGAAAUGAUCGCGACGAGAAUGCGACACUGAGACUGCGGCAAGGCUUCGGUUUCUUAGAAACAGAGAGAGAAGAAGAAUUAGUUGUCAAAAUAAGACCGGGAUUGUUAUUGCCGACGACGAUAAGAAUCGUCGAUGAGCUUUUCUUCUUUUCAACGAAGACGUUUAUACAUCUGUGCGUGUUCCUUGAAUUAUUACGGAGAUACUUCCGAAGUUAUUCGAAGCAAUUACGAAGGUUCGAAAAGUGAACUGCUCCUUGGGGAAAAUGAAACGUACAUAUAUCGAUCGUAUUACCUCAAAUGUGUGGGAUAAAAAGUGACCAGCACACAGUAAACCACACUAACUCCCAUCGAUGUCAGGGCUUCGAAUAUACAAGAAACUAUCAGAUUCUGUGUCGAUGACGUUACGAAGAAGAGACCAACGGCAGCAGCGCCCGGAAACACAGUGCUGACGACUGAAAAAUUAAAGUUGACGUCCGAUGCAUAAGGGAAGCCAGACGCUGGUGGGAAUGCAGGCCAGACCCAGAAAAAUUGUGUAAAGGAAGACGGAACCCUGGAGUUUGGUCUCACACCCAAAUUCAUCUACGACGUCUACCUGCUGAAGAUUGUUUUAAGCACAUCAGCCACUACUUACGGGAUAAUUUUCGGCCGGCUUUCCCGAGUUCUCAGCGUACAUCCGAGCCAGAAUCUGCAUCGCUCGGUGAUCCUGACUGUCCUCAAACAGGUACUUUGGUGAUUCUGG